rnacentral:tRNA from 1 species
GUACUCGUAGCUCAGAGGCAGAGCGGCGCCCUGUUAAGGCGAUUGUCGGGAUUUCGAAAUUCCCCGGGUACGCCA